rnacentral:lncRNA from 1 species
CCUUUGUCUUCCGUGUCUUGUCGGCUUCUGCUGUCUGCCCUUCCCCAAACUUGGUGGUUUGGGAUGUUGGGUUGGGGGGCGGGGAACGCGGGGAGAUUUUUGGGACGGGAAGUGUGCUUGGCAAAUGCUCCCAGGCAAGUGCAUUGCAAUGUGAAUCUGUGCCCUGCAGGACAGAAAAAUACCGACGGGUCGCCUAGCAGAUUGGGCAUCGGUGUAACAGUUUUUUUUUUAAAUUAGUCCUCAUCGACCAAGUCUGUCAAAAACAGAGAAGCUGUGGGUUUAUUUGAACAUUUUUAAGGCGCUCAAAGACUUUGUUUAUUUAAAGCACUUUGAGAUAUGCCAGAUUUAAGUAAAUGGAAACUUUAGCCGCCUCAGGAGCACUGAGCAAGAUUUGAGGUAAGCCAUUGUAACGUGUUGUCCGACUCUCCAGCCUGCUGGUAGAAUAUUCAAAGCAAAAACCCAACUGAAGUAAGCUACUCGCAUUGCAAUUUAGACAGGAGCCAGCACAGCCUGAGUAGAGCGUGGUUCCCAUCCAAUUCAUCUUUGAUUACUCCUAAAACUUUCCAUUCCCAAGUUGUCCACUUGCACAAGGGCAACUCACAUGUGAUUGAACAUGGGAGAGGCUAUCCAGUGACAUGGAGACCAGAGAAGAAAUUAUCAGAGGAAUGGACUGGGGAAAAUGGGACCAUGUUCUAGCUCUUCCAGUGAAAUCCAUUUAUUCAAAGAACAAUGACUGAGCGUUGAGUGCGUCUGAGAUGUUUGCUGUACUCUAAAUGUUUAUGGCCCCUCAAAAUUUAUAUGUUGAAAUCUGAUCUCCAAAAUGAUAGUAUCAGCAGAGGAGGGGACUUUGGGGAUGAGUGGGUCAUGAGGGUGGAACCACAUAAAAGGGAUCUGUGCCCUUUUAAAAGAGGCUGCAGAUAGCUCUGUCGCCCCUUUGGCCUCUGGAGGAUACAAGGAGAAGUUAGGGAUCUGCGGCAAGGAAUAGGGCUCUCACCAGUGAGCACUGACUGCCAGGAUUCUGGUCUUGGACUUCCAGCUCUAGAACUGGGAGGAAUAAAUGUUUGUUGUUUAUAAACUA